rnacentral:tRNA from 1 species
UCCCAUAUUCUGCUGGGUGAAAUAUGACCCUCCUAAGGGGAAGGUUGCAGGUUCAAUUCCUGCCUGGGAC